GUCAAAGAGGAAACCUAAUGAAACUCAAAAAGAUCCUCCCUCCAUCAUUUUCAGCUCCUUUGGAUUGGUCAUUGUGUCUUUGAAACAGUCUCCUUCACUGGAUUAUUUAGGAAUAUGGCUACACUUUGACCAUAUUUUCUUUUUUAUUGAAAUACGAGGCAUAUACCAUACAAUUGAUCUUUCUUAUAGAAUACAUUUGAUGAAUUUACCUGUCUUCUCCUCUUCAAAAUAAUGCGGGUGAGACUCUAAUAUUAGAGGUAUCUGGCUGUGUCAGG
rnacentral:lncRNA from 1 species